GUUAACACAGAUGGCGUUGCACAGUAUGUUCUCUCGCCUUAAUAUUCAAUUACGCUUUCACUGGUAUUAGUUUUGAUUAUCACAUUUGUGACGUUAUUUUUUGAUUCUGUCACACCAGAUACCGUGCAAAGAUUUCUGUUUACGACAAUAGUGAACAAGCUUUCUUUGUCCUGCUUGGAGAUGCUGGCCGGGAGUUGACUGGGAGGCACGCAUCCGAGUUAGUUAGUAGCUACUUUGAGGCUAAUAAGAGCGAAGGAGCUGACCAUGAGGUGCCUGUCCCAGAAGCUCUAAUCAGCACCAUCGGACAAACACAUAAGUUCUGUGUGAAAGUUACAGACCACAACUUCUCAGGCAAUACCCGAGCUAUCACUGUCACCAAGAUCGUGUCUCUAGACCCAACACCACCCACUGAAGCCUCAGUGAGAAAUGACAUUGCUGCAAUGUCCGAGGAAGCAGCGCAGACUGGAAACGACGUCUGUGGACCUCUCAAAGGCCGUGGAGUCUCUGGAGAUGAGGAGAGCAAGCGGAUGUGUAGCAGUGCUGAUCCAGAGCUAACGCCCAAGAUGUGAGAAUUAGAGCCUCGGUUCCUUGAUGCAGUUUAAGUAUUGAGUUGGUUUUUUAAAUUUGCUGCUGUUUAAGUACGUUUUUGUUUAACUUAAAGACAAUGCUUAGUUUGUUUUCAUUUUCAGACUUUGUCUUUCAAUAAUUUGAACUACCUUUCUUAUAGACUCUGCUGUUUCUUAUAAUCUCUGUUGACUUUCUACAUAUCUGAGCAAAAUGUAGAAAAUAGAUUGAGUUUCUGUAUGUUUUUAAAACAAUUAUACCAUGAUUUCUUAUCAGGAUUCUAUAUUACUGAUAUCAAUUAUACACAUUUAGAAAGUUUAGAGCAUGUGCCACAUUCACGGUAGGAAUAUUUGAACUAAUCAAUUAUACGUUUGUGAAACUUUAGGAAGUUUUCCAUAUUCACAAUUAUCAUAUAUUCUUAUGCUUAGAAAGAAAAACCCCUUAACCUUAACCUAACUACAGAGGCGUGCUUACAGUGUAUUGAAAAAGACAUUCGCCUUAGGCCCCCGAAUAAUAUUACGUUUUUAGGGCCCCAAAAUUUAAAAUAAUUUCUAGUUUAGUUGGUUAAAUUUAUUUCUAAAAAAAACUUUUCAUGAGAAUCGAAUAACUCUAUUUCUAAAUCCAUAUACUUUUUUCUUAUAGGACAUAACAUAGCAUAUUUACGUAAUAAACUUAUUUUUGUAAGUGUUAAACUUAUGUAUUUCGCAAAGGUGAUAUAUCGUAUUAGAAAUUUUUUUUUUUAUAGUUGUAUAUAAUUUUUUUUUUAAAACUUGCCUUAGGCCCCUAAAACCCUUCGCACGACACUGCCUAACUAAUCUUCAACGCCUCUCUCAGCCCAAUGCUUCUCUCCAAUUCUCUUCUACUUCGAACAGGUAUUGUCACACUAAUAUUGGCCAGUUUCAUUUUGUUUUUUGUAGAUUGGUUUCACCAUAGGGUAUUGAUGUUUUAUCGUUGGUUUCAACUGAUGGGUUUUGUUUCUCUUAGUCCACUUUAUAUUUUUUCGAUUAUUCUGUGUUCAUUUACGUUCUGCUAUGUUUUAUGUGCCUUUGGUAUGAAAGGCCUGAGCUUUCUCUGUUUUGGUCUUUUAUUACUCAUCUGUGAAUAUUGGUCUCACUAUAGUGUAGGGAUUUUGAUGAGAGCUUAUCAUAUUCUGCUCUGUUUUAGUGGUGGAAAUUAUGAUAUUUCAUUCCAUUGUUCAGUUUGUUAGGAUCUGGAAUACUUGAGUUUUUUCGGUGUUGGUCCAUCUACGUACAAAUCUAUUUAUAGCUUUUUAUGGCUUUUCCUUCUUGAAUAAAAAAAAUUGCAGAAUCAACCAUUUUCUUUGUUUUCGUGAGGGGUUUAAGUUUCUUUUUGGUAUUUGGAAUAAAAAUAUAGUAUUAUAAUAAUAUAUAAAAAAAAUAAUUAAGAAUAUUAAAAAAAAAUUAAAAAUAGUUUCAAACAUAACUUCGAUUUUCAAUUUUUUUUUCAGAAAACAGUUUAUGGAAAAAAAACUUUUAAAAAGAUUUAUAAAAAAGUUAGAUUUUAAAGAAUUAUAAUUCCAAACCUUAAAUUUUUUUAAAAAAUUUAUAUAUUGCUUUUUCUCAGAUCCAAUUUCAGCCGGUACAAAACUUUACGCAAAUUGAUAAAAAAAAGAUAUUAAUGUGUUAUAAAAUUCUAUGGAAAUAGAUAGUCCAAUUAAAACUAUAAAUUAAUAAUUUCUAUGCAUAUAUAUUUUAUACAAAUAAGAACCAAUCAUUAUAAUGGUUGUCUUAUAUUCAUAAUGGAAUUGUUUUAUAUUUCGUUAACACUUAAAUAUUUAAUAUUUACAUUACCGCUACCUAUGCCAAUGAAACCAUUAUUUCAAUAAAUAUCAAUAACUAUCGAUAAUACUUUUUCUUUUCUUCUUACAUUCAGUGAUUAUUUUAAUCCAAACACUGUUUUAUAUUAAUCAUAAUUUAGAUAAAAAUAUAUUAAUCUAAUAUAAUAUUUUACUUUAACAAUUUUAUGGAAAUUACCGGGCGUAGCCCGGGAACAGCUCUAGUAUUACAUAAUUAGAGUUUAUAAUACCUUAACUAAUACUAGAGAAUAGAUGGAUCGCAUGUUACCAACUACCAUAAAACUGUUUGAGUCGAAGCAAAACUCAAACUUUUCACAUAAUUGUUUUUUGUUUCAAGGGAGUUCGAUCCGGGGAGGAGGGCUCUCAUAUAAUUGUAGAAACCGUAACGGUUUUCUAAAGUAGUAAGAGGUCAAAGAUUUAUGUGCCGACGACUCCUUCUUUGUGCCGACGACUCUAGAUGGGAGCUGCUUUUAACGCUCUCCCGAUGAUUGCGCAUCAAUCAAGGUGAAUAAAGUCAAACUAUCCAAACUACUACAAGAUUACGACCAUUCAGACGUCCGAUAAUUGGAGGUUACUUUUGUCUUCUUGAAUAUCUCCUACCCCGGAGACCGGGAAUGUUGGUCACGUGCCUUUUUGGUUAUCGGCCCACCAACACCUUAUCGUUUAUAUCUACAAACACAACCUUUUUAAACUUAAGUAUUAUUAAAUCACCCAUUUGGUCUAAUUAACUAUUUAAUUACAACAACUACAAGUCUACAAAUAACCACCUCCACCGACUCCAUAAUUUCAUACAUUCCCCAUAAACCGGUACAUCUUUCAACAAAAUUAAUAUUCAACACAGAAUGUAAUCCAUUACAUCAUCUACUUUAUUUAUUUUAUCCUCUUUCUUGUCACUGUAAGUCAAUAUGUAGAAGUGGGCAUCAUUUUUUUUUUGAACUUAGAAGUGGGCAUCAUCAGUUAAACAUUGGUUACAAAUAUCAAACCCAAAAUAGCUAACCAAUUAAUACGAAAAGAAACAAGAAUACAAUGUAGAAAGUUAAGUUUUGGUUAAUACAGGACCGUCUUUGUUAAAUAAAAAGGGAAUAUUGCCAAACGGAACAAAAAUUUAAGAUGGUUACCCCCUUACUAUAAUACCAUUACUAAGUUGUUCUUAUAGUAUAAUAUUUUUCAUAAUGCUAAAACUAACAUUUCGUUAAUGAAAUUAAACAUACAUUAAAACCUUUUUAAAAAGUUUAAUGAAAAAAAAUAAAAAUAAAAUGUUUUAUAAAGACAAAAGAAAUAUAAAAACAAUUAAAAAAAAGAACAAAAGACACUGACGUACGGAACCAAAUAUUCUUACUAACCCUAAUAUUCUUCCAUAUCAAAAUCCUCCACAACUAGUCUUUUAAAAUCUUCUAAGAUAGAACUUGAUUCUAAUAACAUUAGUCUACCCCCUUUGUCAUCAGUUGAAAAAACUCAUACCAUGUUGCAUCAAAUUCCCAAACACCACAUGUUGUAUAGAUAUGCAUCAUAGAACAAGAGUUUGUGAAAAUCACAAGACAAGCUAUAGAAAAAUCAUAGAUUGAUGAUGAAGAAAAGAAAAAAUCGUUUUUUUUUAUAUUUUGGCAAAACAAAUCGAUCAAAACACGUUUUAGGAAGUUAAAAUAUUUUCUUAACAAAAGCUUCUUUAAUUUUCAAAAACAUGUUGUCUUAUCCAUAGAAAGCACAUCCUACAAUGAGUAGAACCAUGACAAAAAUCUUGAAUGCAAUUUUUACCUCAUGUAGACGUACGUGUUAUAUUUAGAUUUAGCAUUCCUGAAAUUGAAGAAUAUUUCAUAAAAGUAGAAACUGCACUUGCGAAAAAAGUAGAUAUCUUUACAAUUAGUAGAAUUCACAUUCUUCAUAUUUAGAAUUUAAUUAAAAGUAGAUUUUUCGUUCUAAAAAAAAUAGACGGACUUGUUUAUUCUGGAAUUUGUUUUCUACUAACCAAUUUUCUGUAGAAGACGAAUUCUACUUUUAGUAGAGCAAAAUUUAAAACUUUUAUUUAUCAAGUUUUUCAACCAAAACAAUAUAUGUAUUUGUGUAUACCGGUGUUUUAUUAAAUGUUUAUAUUUUUAAUAUUUUUUUGAUUUAUAAAACUAUUUAUUUCAUUAAAUUUCAGAAAUAGAAAUGGUAAAAUAGAAACAAAAUGGAAAAAAAUUGGUUUUAUACCAAAAUGACAACAAUCUAAAUUUUGUUCCGUUUUGGCAAUUUUCUCAAUAAAAAACUAGUUAUGGAUUUCCAAAAUUUAAGAGUUAAUAUACAAAAUAUAAGACUCUAAAUUGUUAAAACUAUAUUUUGUUAAAUUUUAUUGACUUGUAUAUAAUUUAAAAAAAAUCUCAUCAUCUAUCUGCUUGUGAAUAUAUAUAUCACUGUGCAUUGAGCUUUAGAUGAUUGUGUAUUUCUUGAGAUAGUGAAUUGUUGGAUUCUGGUUCUGGUACGACCCUACCGUAAGGAUCAAACAUCAAUGGUUUAAUGUGUCAUCAGUAUUUUCCUUGCUUGCCCUUUUUUGCGUGUUUUUUUUUUUAUUGUGGGAUUUUCAUAGUGUGAAACGAAAGACUGACAUUUUUCUAUAUACUAUUUUUCGUUUAAAAUUAAAUUCGUUUUAUAGUAUUAUAUUUAAAUAUGAAUCUAUACUAUUAAAAGGGAAGGAGUUUUAAAAAAUCUACCUAUGAAAAGUUGUUGGACCCUUUCAUUAGACUUAACAAUUUUUUUGGUCUCACCUUAUAUUUCUCUACCUAUGCAAUAAUCAAUUACCUUAUAUUUCUCUAACUAUAAAAUAAUCAAUGCUCUUAUUUAUUACUCAACUUAUUAUAAUACACCAAAAAAUUAUACAUAACUCCAUUAUACUAAAAUAUCAUCUUACCAAAACAUGUCUCAUGAAUCCAUAAUGAAUCAAUAACCAAUACGUGACUGGUAAAUUUAAAUACCAAAACUAUAUUGUUCCUUGGUGCCACCAACUUUGCAACAUUUCACACUAUAAUUUAUUUUUUGACCAAAGGCUUCACUCUAUCAUUUUUUCGUUGAUCGAAAUGUGGUUUUUCAAAUGAAUAUGUUGACCUUUCUGAAAUAUUUAUCUACACAGCUUAUACAUCAUAGAUUCUCUUUGACUAACACUUCUAAUAAUUUUGACUAUAUUUUAAAGGAAGUUAUUUUGCAUACAGUUUAACAAUUUAUUCUAAAUAUAUUGUUAGAGAUUAUUUUGUGUACUUUAGUUUAACAAUAUAUACUAAAUAUAUAUAUUCUAAAUAUAUUGUUAUGAUGAUUUUUGAUAAGAAUAUAUUAUAGAUGCGAUUGAAAAUUUAUAUUAUUAAAAGAAAAUAUUUUU